rnacentral:tRNA from 1 species
GUGGUUGUGGCUCAGUGGUGGAGCGCUUGCCUAGCAUGUGUGAGGCACUGGGUUUGAUUCUCAGCACCACA